rnacentral:piRNA from 1 species
UGGAGACUGUUUGCCAAGUUCCUCA